rnacentral:pre_miRNA from 1 species
AUAAUACUUCCUCCGUCCGAAAAUACUUGUCGAAGAAAUGGUAAAAAUGGAUAUAUCUAGAACUAAAAUACGUCUAGAUACAUCCAUUUCUCUGACAAGUAUUUCUGGACGGAGGGAGUAUAUG